rnacentral:rRNA from 1 species
GGGUUUGAUUCUGGCUCAGAUUGAACGCUGGCGGCAUGCCUUACACAUGCAAGUCGAACGGCAGCACGGGAGCAAUCCUGGUGGCGAGUGGCGAACGGGUGAGUAAUAUAUCGGAACGUGCCCAGUCGUGGGGGAUAACGUAGCGAAAGCUACGCUAAUACCGCAUACGAUCUAUGGAUGAAAGCGGGGGAUCGCAAGACCUCGCGCGAUUGGAGCGGCCGAUAUCAGAUUAGCUAGUUGGUGGGGUAAAAGCUCACAAAGGUGAUGUGGUUUAAUUCGAUGCAACGCGAAAAACCUUACCCACCUUUGACAUGUACGGAAGUCGCUAGAGAUAGCUUCGUGCUCGAAAGAGAGCCGUAACACAGGUGCUGCAUGGCUGUCGUCAGCUCGUGUCGUGAGAUGUUGGGUUAAGUCCCGCAACGAGCGCAACCCUUGUCAUUAGUUGCUACGAAAGGGCACUCUAAUGAGACUGCCGGUGACAAACCGGAGGAAGGUGGGGAUGACGUCAAGUCCUCAUGGCCCUUAUAGGUGGGGCUACACACGUCAUACAAUGGCUGGUACAAAGGGUUGCCAACCCGCGAGGGGGAGCUAAUCCCAUAAAGCCAGUCGUAGUCCGGAUCGCAGUCUGCAACUCGACUGCGUGAAGUCGGAAUCGCUAGUAAUCGUGGAUCAGAAUGUCACGGUGAAUACGUUCCCGGGUCUUGUACACACCGCCCGUCACACCAUGGGAGCGGGUUCUGCCAGAAGUAGUUAGCCUAACCGCAAGGAGGGCGAUUACCACGGCAGGGUUCGUGACUGGGGUGAAGUCGUAACAAGGUAGCCGUAUCGGAAGGUGCGGCUGGAUCACCUCCUUUCU